rnacentral:rRNA from 1 species
AAAGACCCCCUUGUAAGCUGGCGUCUUCGGCGUCCGCAUUGUAAUCUCAAGAAGUGUUUUCCGCUUCGGACCAAGCCUAAGUCCCCUGGAAAGGGGCAUCAUAGAGGGUGAUAAUCCCGUACAUGGCUUGGAGCGCCCGAGGCUUUGUGAUACGCUUUCUAAGAGUCGAGUUGUUUGGGAAUGCAGCUCAAAAUGGGUGGUAAAUGCCAUCUAAGGCUAAAUAUUGGGGAGAGACCGAUAGCGAACAAGUACAGUGAUGGAAAGAUGAAAAGAACUUUGAAAAGAGAGUUAAACAGUACGUGAAAUUGCCAAAAGGGAAGGGUAGGAGGUCAGAGAUGCGGCCUGGGAUUCAGCCUUGCUUUUGCUUGGUGUUUUUCCCAGAUUGCAGGCCAACGUCGGUUUUGGGCACUGGAGAAGGGUAGGAGGAACGUGGCACCCCUCGGGGUGUGUUAUAGCCUCCUACUGGAUACAGCGACCGAGACCGAGGACAGCAGCGUACUCGCAAGAGCGGGCCUUCGGGCACCUUUACGCUUAGGGCGUUGGCAUAAUGGCCCUCUACCACCCGUCUUG